UACGGAGGGGGCUAGCGUUGUCCGGAGUUACUGGGCGUAAAGGGCGCGUAGGCGGAUAUUUAAGUUGGGGGUGAAAUCCCGGGGCUCAACCUCGGAAUUGCCUUCAAAACUGGAUAUCUUGAGUUCGGGAGAGGUGAGCGGAACUCCGAGUGUAGAGGUGAAAUUCGUAGAUAUUCGGAAGAACACCAGUGGCGAAGGCGGCCCCCUGGACCGAUAUUGACGCUGAGGUGCGAAAGCGUGGGGAGCAAACAGG
rnacentral:rRNA from 1 species